GACGAACGCUGGCGGCGUGCUUAACACAUGCCAGUCGAACGGAAAGGCCCUGCGCUUGUGUGGUGCUCGAUUGGCGAACGGGUGAGUAACACGUGUGUAACCUGCCCUUGACUUUGGGAUAUCUUCAGGGAACUGGGGCGAAUACCCGAUAGGAGCUCCUGCUGCAUGGUGGUGGUAGGAAAGAUUCGGCGUUUGGGGAUGUACUCGCUGCAUAUCAGCUUGUUUGUGGGGUAGUGGCUUACCAAGGCUUUGACGGGUAGCCGGCCUGAGAGGGUGACCGGCCACACUGGGACUGAGGGGCGGCAGAGGUUGCUAAGCGAGGGAGCAGUGGGAAAGAUUGCACGAUGGGCGGAGGGCGGGUGCAGCAACGCCGCGGGCGGGAAAACGGCCUUCGGGUGGUAGACCGCUUUCGCAUGUAACGAAGCGUGAGUGACGGUAAUGGGUACAGAAGCCCCGGCUUACUACGUG
rnacentral:rRNA from 1 species